rnacentral:rRNA from 1 species
GACGAACGCUGGCGGCGUGCUUAACACAUGCAAGUCGAACGGUGAAGCGCCUUCCUUUUUGGUGGGUGUGUAGGAGUGGCGAACGGGUGAAUAACACGUGAGUAACCUGCUCCCUUCUUCUGGAUAACCGCAUGAAAGUGUUGCUAAUACGGGAUAUUCUGGGUCUGUCGCAUCAUGGGUCUGGGACAGAUUUUGUUUCGGUUAGGGAUGGGCUCGCGGACUAUCAGCUUGUUGGUGGGGUGAUGGCCUACCAAGGCGGUGACGGGUAGCCGGCCUGAGAGGGUGGACGGCAAUAGUGGGAAUGAGAGGCCGAGAAGCCUACGACGGGCGGCAGUAGUGGAGAAUAUGGCACAGGCGGAGGCAUGACGAUGCAGCGACGCGGGGUGGGUGAUGGAGGCCGGCGGGUUGUGAACCUUUAUCGGGAGUGAAGCAGGGUUGAAUUGUCUGUGGGUGGCUUGACGGUAGCUGGAUAAGAAGCGCCGGCUAACUACGUG